CCACUGCAUGGAGGUGGGAAGAGCAGCUGUGUUUAGCGGGGCACUUCUGGGGAGCACUCAGUACUGUACUUAUUUAAUAUUUUUGUCUUGGACACAUGGCUUCUGGAUUGCCAUUUUCUUUCCAUGUGACUUCCAGCAAGUAACUUCAGUUUCCAUUUUCUGAUUCAUAAACAGGAAUAGUGCUUAUUAGUAUAUAUUAGUUAUAUAGACCGGAGGGCUUCACUGUAGCAUACUCAAACAUGCAUAUAACACACCUGGAUCCUUUCCUCCCAUAGGCCCCUCACCCUUUCUCCUCCUGCCUAUCCCCUUCCUCUCUGAUAGUCUCCCUUCUACUUUCAUAGCGUCUCUUUCUCUUUUUCCCCCCUACAUCCCUCAUAUGAAAGGAAACAUGAACUGUUUGACUUUCUGAGUCUGGCUUAUUUCAUGAAACAUUGUCACCUCCAGUUCCAUCGACUUUCCUGGAAAUGACCCAACUUCAUCUUUUUAUGGCUGAAUAAUCUGUGUGUGUAUAUAUACAUUUUUUUUUACCCAUUCAUCUGUUGAUGGGCAUCUAGGCUAUAAAAUGAGAAUGUUAGUACUAUCUAUUGGAUAGGGUUGUGAGAAAGAUUGAGUCAGCAUAUGUAAAGUUAUUAAAGUUGGUAACUGCUAACCUCUGUAACAAAGGACACUGGCCGGGUGAUCCUGAAUAUAGACCCCAGGUCUUGAUCUGUCCUCCUCCCACUGGGAUUUGUGUCCUUUUAUCUCAUUUACUUAUGGUCUUAAUUUUGCAUCACCAGACAACAGCCUGGCCUCAUGAGGACUUAAAUAUGAAGACAGUGAAUGUGUGCUGCAGCUUUGGUGUUAAGUAAAACCCCAGAGUUUGUUGAUUUUGCAUACUUUGUGAUCUAUAGGAUUUUUCUUGUGCUGACCAUAAUGAGGCAAACUGGAAGCUCCCCAGGUGAAGACUCAGGCUUGUCCUUAUUCUUGUUUGCCAUUAGUUGUUUCUGAAGUCUGCUAAGAAUGGAAGAGGAGUUUUGCCACCUGCUGCGCAAGCGCAAAGACUGGAGUUCGAUCCCCAGUACCAAAAAAAAAAAAAAAAAAAAAAAAGAAUGGAAGAGGAGGUUUGGAUUGCUGGUGCAGUUUGCUUUCAAAGGAAGACCUGGGCAGUAUCAGUCUUGCUUGUCACCCUUUCCUCUGUUGAGGACAGAAAGCUAGAGUGGACCUCCUUCCAGGUCCUGCUUUGAUAUCCAGCACCUGCCCCAAGUAUAGGGUGGGGGAUCAACCCAGAAAGGGCAAGCUGACUAGCUGAGACUGAGGGACCCCCAGGCCUCAGAUUCCUGAUGUCAGAUGGUCUGAGACUCCCAGGGAAUUCACAUUAAGCCUGGCUCUUCUCUCAACUACCCCUCGUUUCUCAGUCUGGAGGGGGCCUGGCCACCCACACCUCUAGCAUGCUUGUCUCUCUCCACUGAGAAGCUACCAGCAUGCCUAGCCUUUCUCCUGAUCUCAUCUAGAUUCUGUCUGCAGGCAUGUUAUCUUGUGGAAGCAGGCCAGCCUUUCUCCUACGGCCCUCCUGUCCCUCUUCUUCAGUGUGCUUCAGUUACCCACACAACAAAGAUCUAUGAGGAGCUGUGCCAUGUCAGGCUGGCCCUGUUCUAGGAGGUGAGGACAUGGCCAGGAAUGAAGCCCAGUCCCUGCCUCCUGGAGCUCACAUUGUGGGGUAAGGCAGGAAGCAUCCAACUAUGCCAGAGCACCAAGAAGAAUGGGGAUACAGGCGAGGAACACAGAACGAUGGGGAGGAGAAGAGGGGCUGUUACUUCCAAGAGGGGACAUCAAGCAGAGAUGAGAAGCUUGGUUAGUGUCAUGGAGCUGGUGGAGCAGUAGGGCUAUCCAGGGAGGAAUACAUACUUAGGGAGAUGGAAAUCGAGAUACAUGAAGUGUCUGAGAGGGAGGGCUCUUGCUCCUCCCCACCUCUAGACUGUUAAGGCUCACAUACACUUGAGUGUUUGAAUGGCUUCUUUGCUAAUUUGCAUACUGAUUUGAUGUGGCCUGCAAUUUUGGAAUAGAUUACAGGAUUCCCUGGGAUUUUGUUUCUUAGAUGCUCCAUGAAUAAAAAGCAACAUACCCUUAAAUCAAAGAAAUACCAAAGUGAAUGGGAAAAGGCUUUCUCCUGAUUUGAAGACAAGUGUUACCCUAUGGGAACAAAACAAAGCUCACGCAGUGCACCCUCAAGGUGAAUUUGGGCGUCAGACAUCAGGUUAUUUGGUCCGCUUGGAAUAAAGGAAAGGAAAAGAGAGGCAUCCAAGGAAGCUGAUUCUGGGAUUUUUGCAAGUAAAGAGGCCUCCCUCUGAGGAGUAGCAUGAAGAAAUUCCAUCUACUAUGUAUUUCAAUACAAACUUUUGGAGCAGACAAGAGAACAGCGAAGGUUGGGGCACUGGCUGAUGGGGUAGACUACAAAAGCACAGCCAGUCUCACUGAAAUGUAGGAUGUUUUCCAUGUUAAGAUGUCUGAAAAAUGUAGAAAUCAAAUGCCUUGGGAGGAAGGCGCAACUCAUUAAAUGAAUAUUAAAUGGAAUCACAAACCCAUCA